CUCGUGCAUCUCAAGCAAAGGAUGACUUCCUGCUGACGCAUGUUUCAAAUUUCAUUAUGCGGUGAAGAAUCGUGUUGCAUUUUAAUCCAACGCUAGCUGUUAAACAUUUAAAAAAAUCUAUAUCGAUAACUGUGUUUCCUUUAUUUGCGUCAUCUUUUUGAUGCUGACAAAAACUGUUUAUAUAUAUAUUUUAACAAGUUCAAGGAGGGACGCAGGGGAAAGGGGCGGCGUUCACCAGGCAGUGAAAUUCAUGAAAACCACUGUACGGACAGAAUCAAACACUACAGUUGGCCUACAUCGUCUUGUCCAGGCGCAGUCAAACUCCUCGGAAUUAUAACAACGUUUUCAACUUUUAGUGUCAUUGAACAACUGUCAAAUAAUACUGCGAAUGUAACCGCAACAUUGUCGUGCCACAAGGAGUUCUCAGUGAAGUUUUAGAAACUUUCAGGACUGCGUUCCCGAGGCCGCAGUGCCAUGCCAGAGGGAUCUCACAACGCCACCUAUGAAGUCCCAAUGGGUGAAGCAUCACCUGGCCCAUGAGACACAGGGAGGAGGGCAUUCCGCAAAUACCACCUCAUGCCGAGGGAUGAUUUGUUGGAGGGGUAGUCCAGCACGAUGCCUGUCAGACCGCUUUCUUUCAUUACACAAACCCAGCAAGCAUCUUCCAAGCAAUCAUCAGCUCAACACCAAGGUUUCCAAAGAGUGGGUGGGUGGUCAGGAUAGUAUCGAGGAAGAACGUAAGAGAUCAAGAAAAGUAAAAUUAGACGCCCUGAUGAUGUUCCUACGUCUUCGCGGCGGCAAAAGGAAUUAAUUUGUAAUCAGACUGACAUGACAUUCG
rnacentral:lncRNA from 1 species